UACAGAGGUCUCAAGCGUUGUUCGGAUUCAUUGGGCGUAAAGGGUGUGUAGGUGGCGCCGUAAGUCGGGUGUGAAAUUUCGGAGCUUAACUCCGAAACUGCAUUCGAUACUGCGGUUCUUGAGGACUGGAGAGGAGACUGGAAUUCAUGGUGUAGCAGUGAAAUGCGUAGAGAUCAUGAGGAAGACCAGUGGCGAAGGCGGGUCUCUGGACAGUUCCUGACACUGAGACACGAAGGCCAGGGGAGCAAACGGG
rnacentral:rRNA from 1 species